rnacentral:rRNA from 1 species
UACGGAGGGGGCUAGCGUUGUUCGGAAUUACUGGGCGUAAAGCGUGCGUAGGUGGUUCGUUAAGUCUGAUGUGAAAGCCCUGGGCUCAACCUGGGAAUGGCAUUGGAAACUGGCGACCUAGAGUGCGGUAGAGGGUAGUGGAAUUCCCGGUGUAGCAGUGAAAUGCGUAGAGAUCGGGAGGAACAUCCGUGGCGAAGGCGACUACCUGGACCAGCACUGACACUGAGGCACGAAAGCGUGGGGAGCAAACAGG